AGCGAACGCUGGCGGCAGGCCUAACACAUGCAAGUCGAACGAACCUUUCGGGGUUAGUGGCGGACGGGUGAGUAACACGUAGGAACGUGCCUUUAGGUUCGGAAUAACUCAGGGAAACUUGUGCUAAUACCGAAUGUGCCCUUCGGGGGAAAGAUUUAUCGCCUUUAGAGCGGCCCGCGUCUGAUUAGCUAGUUGGUUGAGGUAAUGGCUCACCAAGGCGACGAUCAGUAGCUGGUCUGAGAGGAUGAUCAGCCACAUUGGGACUGAGACACGGCCCAAACUCCUAGGGGAAGCAGCAGUGGGGAAUCUUGCGCAAUGGGCGAAAGCCUGACGCAGCCAUGCCGCGUGAAUGAUGAAGGUCUUAGGAUUGUAAAAUUCUUUCACCGGGGACGAUAAUGACGGUACCCGGAGAAGAAGCCCCGGCUAACUUCGUG
rnacentral:rRNA from 1 species